CCUACGGGAUGCAGCAGUGGGGAAUAUUGCACAAUGGGGGAAACCCUGAUGCAGCGACGCCGCGUGAGCGAAGAAGUAUCUCGGUAUGGAAAGCUCUAUCAGCAGGGAAGCAAAUGACGGUACCUGACUACGAAGCCCCGGCUCACUACGUGCCAGCAGCCGCGGUAAUACGUAGGGGGCAAGCGUUAUCCGGAUUUACUGGGUGUAAAGGGAGCGUAGACGGCGGUGCAAGCCAGCUGUGAAAGCCCGGGGCUCAACCCCGGGACUGCAUUUGGAACUGGGGGGCUAGAGUGUCGGAGAGGCAGGCGGAAUGCCGGGUGUAGCGGUGAAAUGCGUAGAUAUUAGGAGGAACACCAGUGGCGAAGGCGGCCUGCUGGACGGAGACUGACGUUGAGGCUCGAAAGCGUGGGGAGCAAACAGGAUUAGAUACCCGAGUAGUC
rnacentral:rRNA from 1 species